rnacentral:tRNA from 1 species
CGGGGUGUAGUUCAGUUGGCUAGAACGCGCGCAUGGGGUGCGCGAGGUCGUCGGUUUCCUCCAGAGGCGGACUAAUUCACCGCCGAUGGCGGUUCAUUAAGCAAGUCCGGUCACCCCGACCA